rnacentral:tRNA from 1 species
UGGGUUGUGGCUCAGUGGUAGAGCGCUUGCCUCUAAUGUGUGAAGCACUGGGUUCAAUUCUCAGCACCAA